rnacentral:lncRNA from 10 species
AGCCAGUUAGCUAGAAGCAAGUUCAAAAAGAAUUCAGAAAGGGAGGUGGUGGGGGUGGUUAGGAAGGCAGGUCAGUAGACAACUUCUGUGACAUCCUAAGGAGUUCAGACUUGGCCCUGUAGCAGUGAGAAGGCAGUUAAGGAUUUUAAGCAUUGUGCAAAACAGAGUAAUAGACUGCAGUCUGUCAUGACUAGAAGAAGGGGUCUCAUUGGAAGAAACUGGAGGGACAAAUCAGACUCUGAACAAAACUAGCAGCACUGGGGAUGGAGCAAAGGGAUUGAAUACAAGAUAUAUGAAUGAUGUAAAAUUUACAGGCCAUGGUGACUAUUUGGACACGGGACAUGGAGAGAAGACUGCUCUGGCAGCCUAGGAUAGAGAUGCCAUACCUCUUGCAGAAUUUUCUAACCACCUGCCUAAUCUACAGGAACUGUCCAGGGAGCUGUUGGUUAUCUUUAGGGAUGGGAAGACAUACAAGAAAGCAACCAGUUACUGGAUUAUAUGAGGAAGGCUGUGACAGAGGCCAUACCGGAUGCUGCAGGAACACAGAAAAAGAAGGAUCUACGCCCUUUGAUGAAUUCCCAGGAAGCCUUCCCAGAUGUGUCAGUGGGCUCUUGAAGGGUGCUCAUCUACUGGAAAGGCUUCAACUUUCACCUUUGCUGAUGACGUUCCAGUCCCAGUCUGCCCAAUCUGAAUUCUUCCUCAGCCUCUGCUUAGCUUCCUAUCCUCCGUUCCUUCUCCUAUGAUCUAGGCAGACAUUGAGGAUUAUGCCUGGCACAUUUUCUCAGAGGGCCAAGGCACAGCCUUAAUUUUCUACUCAACUGGGAGCUCUAGGCACCCAUUACCAUUCAGAGUUGGCAUUCGAGACAAAAACUAUUUUUUUCCUGAAUCUAGUCCUUUUAAUUUUAAGCACCUUAAGGAAUAUACCUUUUAAAGUGUCUUGAAGGAUUUCAUUCCCCCAUUCAUUCAGCAAACUGUAAAGAGCUUCCCAUGUGCUGCCUGUUGAAUGCAACAUCCUCCCUCUCAAACCCUCUCCUGCUCAACAGGUCCCCUGCUAUCAAUGAUACCAGCAAUAGCACUGAAAGAAUAAAUAUACACCAGAUAACACAGGUGAGUGGGCACAGCUCUCCAUGCCACCCUAGUUCCUCACAAAGGCAUGCCCAAUAUUUGGAGGUACUGACAGCCUUAGAGGAAGGAGAAAUCCACCAGGUCAGAAAAAUUCUGAGCUGUAGGCUUGCUGCCUUUCUUACCUACAUUUGAGGAAAGGCCAGGUUAGCAUCCAAGAGUCCACCCUAUCACCAUAUAAAGAAUUCCAUGCCAGACACAUAUACUUCUAUUUCCUAAUGCUGGUCCUGGGUCUACAGUGGUCUUAUUAUAAUCAGUAGACCAUUCUAGUUCAAGCCCUUAUCCCCUCCUAUAUGGAUAACUGUAACAGACUCUCCUCUCCAGUUCAUCCUAUAAAUGCCAUAGCCAAACUCUACCCCAAUUUUAACUCCUAGUAAUUACUGAUUUGUUCUAUAGGUUGGUGCAACAGUAAUUGCGGUUUUCACCAUUAAAAGUAAUGGCGAAAGUAAUGCUUAGCCUCCUAUUUGGCGAAACUGUAAUGGUGAAAACUGUAAUUACUGUUGCAUCAACCUAAUACAACACUGCAAUUUUGUUUUUUAAGAAUUUCAAAUAGGCCAGGCACGGUGGCUCACACCUGUAAUCCCAGCACUUUGGAAGGCCGAGGCGGGUGGAUCACCAGGUCAGGAGUUCAAGACCAGCCUGACCAACAUGGUGAAACCCCAUCUCUACUAAAAAUACAAAAAUAAGUUGGGUGUAGUGGCGUGCGCCUGUAGUCCCAGCUACUCAGGAGGCUGAGGCAGGAGAAUAGCUUGAACCUGGGAGGCGGAGGUUGCAGUGAACUAAGAUCGCACUGCACUCCAGCCUGAGCGACAGAGCAAGACUCCAUCUCAAAAAAAAAAAAAAA